CAGAAGGGGCCCCGGGUGAGGUGAGACACAGUCCCUCACGAAGAGAGCUGGUGACCCGGCCCCGCCUGGGGUCGGUGGCCCAGAAACCCUGGCGGUCGUUUAGCAGAUGCCCCAGCAGCCGCGGCUCUCGUGGGCGUCUCAGCCAAAUUCGUUACACGGUAACAGCGUGAUGUUUCGUGGUUUCCUCAAGAAUCACUGUGCUGUUUACAGAGCGCCUUCAUCGACCGUGGCCGGGGCUGGCCGCUGUUCGGCGAACCGGUCUCUCUACUGUCUGAGGGCCACGUUCCAGGCCUUCUAUUCUCUCACGCUGCGCAGCGUGCGUCAGGGUGGUUUUUCAGCGAGUGUCGGGCAUCAAAAACCCGAAGCCGCCUCUGGCACGCAACCUCCGAGAACCGUUCACUUCCGAGGCUCUCUACCCGCUUUUGUCUUCCAGCUAUUCCGCAGUCGGCUUGUAGGCUCCACCUGUACGUGACCCCAUCCCCUGCCGUCGUUUACUUUGUAAGUGGCUCAGCAGCAAUAUACAGAUGACCCGUCACCGCAGCAGACGGAAGGUGGCAUCCAGCCUUAUCGCAGGCAGGGGUGUGCCCGGGGGCGCUGGUGAGACCUGCCGGAUGUGAUGACACGUGACCUCUCGGGUCCCUGAAGGCCGGGUAAGAGGGGCCUUCCGAGGAAAGGAGCGGUGUGAGCAAAGAGGCACGUGGCCUGGCGGGGGCGGGAGCCCGGGAGCGGGAAGCAGGACACGUGACACCGGGAGGGAAGGGCACGCCACCACAAGGACGGCCACUGGGCGGUAAGAGGGGCGCCUCUCAGAGGAAGGGGGUCCGGGGGGCCAGGAGACAGCCCGCGAGGGUCCUGCCGGCGUCAGAUGAGGCCGAACGAAUGAUCGCAGGUGGCGGCUAGCGCCACGAGGGUCACCGCGGGGCGGGACCAGAGGGGACGGAGCCGCCGGGCUCUUGGAUGUCGAGGAUCUGAGCGAUCGGGGCCAUGACGGGGAACUUUAUGUGGCCCGUUACGAGGAGCUUCUGCUGAGGUGUCAGCGGCUCGCCCCGUCUCACGGGACGGCCCCGGGCUGUCGCUGUCGCGACGGGAGAGAACCAGGCGAAACUGCGAGGGCCCCGGGGAGUCACAUGUGCAGGCACUCGCACACCGCAACCCAGUCCCGGACGCUCUACUUCAGGAGCACCCCACGGGAGGAUCACACUUCAUGCACGAGGCAGACACGGCAAGUUCCGUGACCCAGUUGGCCCACGCCCGGGGGUUCCUCGGCCCCGGCCACCUGGCUUGUGGUCACCCUCCUCCCUUUCCCAUAGUUUUCUUUCACCAAAGAAAUUUCCAAAUGGCUGCAAACUUAUUCAGUUACUGCCAUUAGUCACGGCCAGGGGCAAGGACCUGACGGCCACGUGCCACGGAGUCUUUGUGGGCCCACCUGUGGUUCAUCUUGGUCACGCUCCACCCUCCUCCCCCUCCUCACGCCUGCUGCUAAGUCAUACACUCAGCAGGGUUUUUCCCCUCAACAGAUCUUUGCCUGGCUACUCGUCCCUCCGGCCAGCGAUCUUACUGAGUGACCCCAGCGGCGGGAGGAAGGCACCCGGUCAUGCACCCUGAUAUGCUGGGAGUCCACGUCGGGCCUCCAGAGCACUUCUCGGCCAGUGCAGCUUUAGCCCAUCUCACGUUCCUGUUAAUCUUUAGGGUGAGAAGAGUACUUCUGCUUCCUGACAAGGCAAAUUGUGCAAAGUCAUGGCUUAAAUGUCACAAUACAGGGCGUAUCUGUCAGGGAGUCAGCUGAGGGAGCCCCCCUAGAACCACAUGCAGGGCGAUUUCAUCGCGCAAGAUCCAAAGGAAAGCGAGCCCCCAGAACUGUGCCUCCCCAGAGGGUGUCUGGAUUGCAGAGCAAAGGAAAGGGGCCCCACGAAAGGGGAGGGCCUGCCACCAGUGAGGGAACAUGCAGGAAAUGGAGGGCCCCGGGAACAGUCAAGUGCCUUGAAAAUGCUAAUUCACUCCAGAGAAGACCAGCAUCUCACGAUUAACCUUGGAUGGGUUCCUUGUAAUACUCCUAGAUUAAGAAUUCAAACACGUGCCUUGGCCUCUACCAUUGGAUCUUGGAAAAUGUCCUUGUGUGAUUAGGAAUAGUUUUAUUUUUUAAAUUUUCUUAAAGAUUUUGGCUUUUUUAAAAAAAUUGUUUAACGUUUAUUCAUUUUUUGAUAGAGACAGAGCAUGAGUGGGGGAGGGGCAGAGAGAGAGGGAGACACAGAACCUGAAGCAGGCUCCAGGCUCUGAGCCCGACGUGGGGAUCGAACUCAUGGACCGUGAGAUCAUGACUCGAGCCAAAGUCGGAUGCUCAACCGACUGAGCCACCCAGGCGCCCCCAUUGGCUUUUGUUUUUUUAGAAGUUUACUUAUUUUGACAGAGAGAAAGAGGGAGAGAGUGGGGAGGGGCACAGAGAGAGGGAGAGAGAAUCCCAAGCAGGCUCCUGCGCUGUCAGCACAGAUCCCAUGAACCGUGAGGUCAGGACCUGAGCCAAAGCCCGAUGUUUAACUGACUGAGCCACCCAGUCGCCCCUAAAGAUUUUAUUUUUAAGUAAUCUCAACACCCAACGUGGGGCUCAAACUCACAACCCUGAGAUCAAGAGUCACGUGGUCCACUGAGCGAGGCAGCCAGGCACCCCAGGAAUAGUUUUAAAGGUCUCCUGUCCCCAAAGUCUGCCCCCUCUUAUACUGUUCCUAGACUCUCACCAAGAUGGGGGAAUGAUCCCAAUCACAUGCUAUCUAUAGAUAUCUUUGAGCCUCUAACCAGAAAUCACCAGUGCGGACAAUGCUGAACAAAUGAUUUUCAAAGUAAGCCACCAUGGUGAUCUCAGAUUUAAAAAAAAAAAAAAAAUUGAAAUGGCACUUAAAAAAGAGAAAAUAAAGAAAAAAGCGAUAGGAACAAAGAAACAGAAACCAGGAAGAGUUUCAGAAGGAAACAUAUAAUAAAAAUGCAGAAUCUCCAAUCAGAGGAAAAUAAAUGUUUCAUGAAACCAAGAAGCUAGUAGGGAUAAAUCUUUGUCAUAUUUUAGGUGUUAGAAUUCUCUUCCAGUCUAUUUCUACCAUCCACUUGUGAUAGAUCUGUUUUAUUUCCAUGUUGCCAUGUGCCGUGACUCAAAACACCCUUUCAAUCAUGCUAAGUCCUGGCAUUCACCAAGCCCACCUGUUAUGGACAUUUCAAGCCUCUGAUAGAUGUUCGAGGGCUAAACAUUCCAUGACCCUAGUCUUUAUUCUUAAGGCUGUUAACGGAUCGACUGCCUUGACCAGAGGCAUCAUCAUAAUGUCUCGUGAGCCCUGCUUCCUGAUGGGGGACCUCACCUCGUAACAUAUAAUCUGUCUCCAUUUACCAAAAGACUAUAAUUGAUACCCUGCCUUAUUAUGCCCCGGCUCGGCCGUGGAAUUCAGGGCAAAGGUCAGAAACCCUUGUUGAGUGGGGCGCAGGCUGGCAGUGGGGGCACAGGAGGAAGGACACAAAGCAGUGGUCUGGGGGUCAGUCAGGAAGUCUCCAUUUUGUUAGGUGAUAGGCUGACUGACUGAGAGGGGGCAAUCCAGGGUUCUGGAGGACUGAAACAACAUUAAGGUGAAAGCCUCGCUCGGUCCCCACCUGCCAAGUUGCUCCGAGGGCCAUCAUUUGUCUGCCUGAGCAGUGUCACAAGCCAGAUUCGAGGCACACACUCACAGGCAGACCAGGAGGGUGGUGGUCCCCAGGGAGUCGUGUCUGAGAGCGCGAAUGCGAAUGGCUCUCUGUGGGAACAGCUACUCUGUUGGCAAGGACGGGCAUCAUACUGUGAAAACGCCACAGGAAGACCAGAGUAAAGGCCAGUGUGAUCUUGUGGGUGGCCUACCACGACAUGACCGCCCCAACCAAUAGCUUGUGUUGUCCACCCGUGCACAGUGGGGACAGAGGAGAACGGGUGGGGUCCACGCGCGAUGCCACCUUCACAAAGACUGCUUUAGUUUUCCCAUCUGUCGUCACGCAGAGUUGCAAACGACCUUAGAUACCAAGCGGCCCGGCCACCCCAUUUCAUAGACGGGAAGACUGAAGCCCAGAGAUGGGACAUGACCGGCUUCACUGCAUUAUCAGCAGCUCCAGAUCUAGAACCAGAGUGUCCGGACCCCCAGUGUCCCGUCCCUUGUGCCACAUCAAGCUGCUUCCAGCGACGGCUCUUGACUCACGGCAGCGUACAAGUCGGGACCGUGCUUUAUGGUCCCUUGACUUUAGAGAGUAAUAGGCAGAGGCUCGGUGUCCGGGUCACAGACCUCGACACUAGGGGACAGGUAAAACACUCUAGAUUCUCUCCUGCUACGGCGAGAGUCUCCUCAGAUACCAUCAACUUCAGCUGAGGCAGUGGGGCCGCAGCAGCUGCCGCAGAGCAAGGGAGGGGAGGUCCAGGUUGAUGGAGGGGUAAAGGGUCCUCCUACAACAGCUGACGCUCAAGGAGCCCGAGCAAACGGUUCCAAAGCUCUGGAAGUCAAGCAGUACGCGCGCCGUGCCAGGCAGCGGGUACAUGAAUAGAAUGACAGGAACACGAAGUCCAGCAAAUAGAACACGAGAAGCAGUCUGCAGCUAGAGUGGCUGAAGCCACCAAAGGUCACGCACUCGGAAAGAGGACAUCACAUUUAUCUCAAAUCCCAACCUUUCUUGUUCAUUUUCAAGCAGUGUGACGGUCGAAGAGAACACACACGUAAAUAUGUACCACGUGUAAGGAAGACAGGCCUGUCUCAGGUGUGGAAUGGGCGGCCAACUGCUCCGCUGCAUUCGGUGGAAUUCAGACAAAAUGGCGUCCACCGGGCCCCUGGCCAUCUUGGAGGGCUUCCGCGGAAGAAAGUCAAGUCUUAAUUUUAUAGGCGAUCGGCAGAACAAUGAACACUGUUCUAAGACAAGCAACGUGGAGCGUGCUCAGAGUUUAACACGGGUGGAUCUAUUUUAUACGGUUUCAAGGGAAUUCUGUAGCGGCAAAGGGCCCGGGCCCUGGAGCCAGAGCGUCUCACAUCGAAUCCGGUCUCCACCACUUACUGGUUGUGUGCAAGCCAAUUCUACUUAAUGUGUCUGUGACUCAAUUUGCUCAUCUGCAGAAUGGGGAUAACAGGAGUGCCUAGGUUUAUAGGGCUGCGGUGAGAAAUAAAGCACUAAACCCUUGCACAACGGUGGCUGGCACCCAGUGGGCACAUUUUGCAAUUUAUUCAAUUAUGCUUUAAAAAUGAGGAUUCCCAAGCAGCAGACUCCUGCAAAAGAAAAAUUUCUUUUCGAAUUUACCAGUUCACAGGGCACACGUGAAAAACAGGUAACAGCCCAACUGUGAGGGUUAUGAGCCUGAUGCGUCAACAGGAGGACAAUCUGACAUGUCCCAGGGCCUCAGAGGAAUCAGCCUCUGGCAGGCACAACGGCCCAGAAGACAGCUGUACAUCCUACAUGGAUGUAGACGGUUUAGGGACAGGUGAUGGGACACCUUGGAAAGACAAGGCUGCUCUCUUGAUCCUCUAGUGAAAAUAAAAGACCCACUAGGUGUAGGUCACCUGCUCAGACUUGGGGUGAGAAAGGAGUUUUCCUACAUCCCUCCUACCAAGUAAGGUCCUAGUGAGCCCAAUGGAUGAUUACACUUUCCAACACAACAAACGAAGGCUUGCUUGGGUGAAAACCCUUAAUGAGACAGGCCACCCGUGGACCGCCUCUCUGAUCUCAACUUGGCCCAAGAAGGCUACCGACGAAAAGAGACUACCUAUAGCAUCAGAAACAGUAGCUCUGGCCAGAGCGCAGGUUACUUCUGUAUGUAUGAUGGGAGUUGAUUUGUUUUUACACGUUGGUUAAGCAUUAGACUACACUAAGAAUUUAGCAACUAUUUCUAAUGUUUCUUAUUUUUGAGAGAGAGAGAGAGACAGAGUGCAAGCAGGGGAGGGGUGGGGAGAGAGGGAGACACAGAAUCCGAAGCAGGCUCCAGGCUCCGAACACUCAGCACAGAGCCCGACGCGGGGCUCCAACCCACGCACCGUGAGAUCAUGAUCUGAGCCGAAGUCGGACGCUUAACCGACUGAGCCACUGAGGCGCCCCUGACGUGAGUUAAUUCUGAAUGAAUGCCAAGGACGUGGAUCUCAAAGAGCUCUCUUUCUGGGCCAUGCAGAGGAAGGGCUCAGCAGCUGACGUGAGGGAAGACUGCCUGUGGGGACGCUGGACUUAAGUGAAGCACAGGAAGGCGUCAGGUCUCAGGGGCAGCACAAGUGAGAGCUGCAUCGUCUGUCCCACUGCUGCCCAAAACCACACUGUGGUCAUCCCCCCACGUCCACCCCUAGAUGAAUUCGGGUUAAAGCACCCGAGUUGGGAGAACUGACAGAACAGUCACCUGACCAGCCCACGGACAGGCCGGAUGCUACGGUGGUAACCGUCCUGCCGGAUGACAGCUCACGGGGCCACGGCACCUGCGAUGUGCCAGUGACGCAGUCCUGGAGGAGGAACUGUGUCUGUCCGUCAGGCCCACCGGUCUCCCUCCUUUCAGGAAGGGCUCCUGAAACCCUGUGACUCAGCUCAACCCAGGAAAACAAAAGAAAGGGAAUGGGGGCAGCUCCCGGGAGGAGGCAGGCAGUGCCGGGGCAGGGGUCCCUCUGGGGCCAGUUCCAAGGAGAGAAAGGGCUGCUCCAAAGGAUUCUCUGAGGCUCUGGCCAAACCCACCAUACCCGUCUCUCCCAGUGCCAUGGACUGGGAAAGGCCCGCAGCCACAGCAUCUCAAUCGCACAUACUGAACAUUCUAUCAACCCAGGCUUCCUUCUUUUGGGUUAACGGUAUCCCCCGAUAAAAUGGGAAGAUCGCCGGCGCGUGUUUGUGGAAGGAGCUAAGAGGGUAUGAAGGACCCUGGUGUUGUCGGUGAGCCUAUGUAAACCAUCUUCCAAUGGAAACAUUUCAUGGGUGAAAACGUAAGAAGGUCAUUGUUUUCUGUGUUCACAGUGAUUCUUAAAACAUGUUUCCAUG